AACAAUGCUGCUUCGAAGAAACUAAGCAAGGAUGCGAAGAACAGAACGGUUGUGAUUGAAUUUUGCAAACAGUGCCAAUCAUUCAAGAAAAGGGCCAUCCAGGUGCAAAGUGGUCUAGAGAAUGGUGUUUCUGGAAUUACUGUGCUGCUCAAUCCUAAUAAG